rnacentral:rRNA from 1 species
GAUGAACGCUGGCGGCGUGCUUAACACAUGCAAGUCGAACGAGAAGUGAAGACGGAAACCUUCGGGCGGAAGGCUUUAUUUCGAGUGGCGGACGGGUGAGUAACGCGUGGGUAACCUGCCUCAUACAGGGGGAUAACAGUUGGAAACGACUGUUAAUACCGCAUAAGACCAAAGCACCGCAUGGUGCGGGGGUAAAAACUCCGGUGGUAUGAGAUGGACCCGCGUUCGAUUAGCCAGUUGGCGGGGUAACGGCCCACCAAAGCGACGAUCGAUAGCCGAUCUGAGAGGAUGACCGGCCACAUUGGGACUGAGACACGGCCCAAACUCCUACGGGAGGCAGCAGUGGGGAAUAUUGCACAAUGGGGGAAACCCUGAUGCAGCGACGCCGCGUGAGUGAAGAAGUAUUUCGGUAUGUAAAGCUCUAUCAGCAGGGAAGAAAAUGACGGUACCUGAGUAAGAAGCCCCGGCUAACUACGUG